rnacentral:rRNA from 1 species
UUGCGGUUAAAAAGCUCGUAGUUGGAUCUCGGCAAGUAGAGGGCGGUAUGCUUCGUAGCAUUACUGCCCUAUUACUUGUAGUUUUGCCAGAGGUUCCUGGGUGCUCUUAAUCGAGUGUCUAGGGAUGCUGGCAGGUUUACUUUGAAAAAAUUAGAGUGCUCAAAGCAGGCUAUUACGCUUGAAUAUUCGUGCAUGGAAUAAUAGAAUAGGAAGUUGUUUCUAUUUUGUUGGUUUUCGGAAAUCGACUUAAUGAUUAAUAGGGACAGUCGGGGGCAUUUGUAUUCAAACGACAGAGGUGAAAUUCUUGGACCGUUUGAAGACAAACUACUGCGAAAGCAUUUGCCAAGAAUGUUUUCAUUAAUCAAGAACGAAAGUUAAAGGUUCGAAGGCGAUUAGAUACCGCCCUAGUUUUAACCAUAAACGAUGCCAGCUAGCGAUCUGCGGACGUUUUUUUUGUAGACUCCGCAGGAAGCUUCCGGGAAACCAAAGCAUUUGGGUUCCAGGGGAAGUAUGGUUGCAAAGCUGAAACUUAAAGGAAUUGACGGAAGGGCACCACCAGGAGUGGAGCCUGUGGCUUAAUUUGACUCGACACGGGAAAUCUCACCAGGCCCGGACACUGGAAGGAUUGACAGAUUGAUAGCUCUUUCU